rnacentral:misc_RNA from 1 species
GGGAGGGGGAAUUGGGGGACGUCUGCAGAUGAUACACUGGCACAGGAAACUGAUGUCAGUGUUAAAGUUGAUGAUAAGAUUGGAAUGCCGGAGAAGCAUGCUGAACAGGGAGAUGCUCCGACAGCGGAGGUCAAGGAGGGGCAAGCCAAGGAGGUAGAGGAGAAAGAAGAGGACAAGGAGAUGACUUUGGAAGAGUAUGAGAAAGUAAGGGAGGAGAAGCGAAAAGCACUACUUGAGAUGAAGACUAAAGAGAGGAAGGUGGAUUUUGACAAGGACUUUGAAUCAAUGCAACAACUGUCACUGAAGAAAGCAAAUGCUGAUGAAGUUUUUAUCAAAUUGGGUUCUGACAAGGAUGGUAAAAAGAAGGAAAAUGCUGAUCGUGAUGAAAGAGCUAAAAAGGUGAGCAUCCAGCAGUUUCUGAAGCCUUCUGAUGGGGAGAGAUAUUACAGCCCUGGUGGCCGUGGCCGUGGCAGGGGACGGGGUGGUGAUCGUGCACCAUUCAGAG